rnacentral:tRNA from 1 species
GGGCGAGUGGCGGAAUGGCAGACGCGUAGGUCUCAAAAACCUAUGAGGGCAACCUCGUGAGAGUUCAACUCUCUCCUCGCCCA